rnacentral:rRNA from 1 species
AACGUAGGACGCGAGCGUUAUCCGGAGUUACUGGGCGUAAAGCGCGGGCAGGCGGUCGGUCAAGUGGGAUGUGAAAGCGCCCGGCUAAACCGGGCGAGGCCAUUCCAAACUGGCCGACUGGAGGGCAGUAGAGGUGGGUGGAAUUCCGGGUGGAGUGGUGAAAUGCGUAGAGAUCCGGAGGAACACCAGAGGCGAAGGCGGCCCACUGGGCGUGCACCUGACGCUGAACCGCGAAAGCCAGGGGAGCGAACGGG